rnacentral:rRNA from 1 species
AUUGAACGCUGGCGGCAUGCCUUACACAUGCAAGUCGAACGGUAACGGGCCUUCGGGUGCCGACGAGUGGCGAACGGGUGAGUAAUGCAUCGGAACGUACCUUUCAGUGGGGGAUAACGUAGCGAAAGUUACGCUAAUACCGCAUAUUCUGUGAGCAGGAAAGCAGGGGAUCGCAAGACCUUGCGCUGAUUGAGCGGCCGAUGUCAGAUUAGCUAGUUGGUGAGGUAAAGGCUCACCAAGGCGACGAUCUGUAGCGGGUCUGAGAGGAUGAUCCGCCACACUGGAACUGAGACACGGUCCAGACUCCUACGGGAGGCAGCAGUGGGGAAUUUUGGACAAUGGGGGCAACCCUGAUCCAGCCAUGCCGCGUGAGUGAAGAAGGCCUUCGGGUUGUAAAGCUCUUUCGGUCGGGAAGAAAUCGCAUGGGUUAAUACCCUGUGCGGAUGACGGUACCGGCAUAAGAAGCACCGACUAACUACGUGCCAGCAGCCGCCGCCG